CUACGGGAGGCAGCAGUGGGGAAUAUUGCACAAUGGGGGAAACCCUGAUGCAGCAACGCCGCGUGAGUGAAGAAGUAUUUCGGUAUGUAAAGCUCUAUCAGCAGGAAAGAAAAUGACGGUACCUGACUAAGAAGCCCCGGCUAACUACGUGCCAGCAGCCGCGGCAAUACGUAGGGGGCAAGCGUUAUCCGGAUUUACUGGGUGUAAAGGGAGCGUAGACGGUUUUGCAAGUCUGAAGUGAAAGCCCGGGGCUUAACCCCGGGACUGCUUUGGAAACUGUAGGACUAGAGUGCAGGAGAGGUAAGUGGAAUUCCUAGUGUAGCGGUGAAAUGCGUAGAUAUUAGGAGGAACACCAGUGGCGAAGGCGGCUUACUGGACUGUAACUGACGUUGAGGCUCGAAAGCGUGGGGAGCAAACAGGAUUAGAUACCCUGGUAGUCCACGCCGUAA
rnacentral:rRNA from 1 species